CCCAGUGUGGCAUAGUGGUUUGAGUGUUGGACUGUAACUCUGGAGACGAGGGUUCGAUUCCCAGCUCAGUUA
rnacentral:tRNA from 1 species